GAAUUCAACUCCUACGGGAGGCAGCAGUGGGGAAUUUUGGACAAUGGGCGAAAGCCUGAUCCAGCCAUUCCGCGUGAGUGAAGAAGGCCUUCGGGUUGUAAAGCUCUUUCGCAAGGGAAGAAAACUUACAUUCUAAUAAAGUGUGAGGCUGACGGUACCUUGAUAAGAAGCACCGGCUAACUACGUGCCAGCAGCCGCGGUAAUACGUAGGGUGCGAGCGUUAAUCGGAAUUACUGGGCGUAAAGCGUGCGCAGGCGGUUUGGCAAGUCAGAUGUGAAAUCCCCGAGCUCAACUUGGGAACUGCGUUUGAAACUGCCAGACUAGAAUAUGUCAGAGGGGGGUAGAAUUCCACGUGUAGCAGUGAAAUGCGUAGAGAUGUGGAGGAAUACCAAUGGCGAAGGCAGCCACCUGGGAUAAUAUUGACGCUCAUGCACGAAAGCGUGGGGAGCAAACAGGAUUAGAAACCCUAGUAGUCCAGGCGUU
rnacentral:rRNA from 1 species